CCUGGGUCUAACUGCCAUUUUAAUUUCCCCUGAUGCAGCAGCUCUCGGUGAAUUAUGGGAAAUUAAAAUGGCAGUUAGACCCAGU